GAUGAACGCUGGCGGCGUGCCUAAUACAUGCAAGUCGAGCGAACGGACGAGAAGCUUGCUUCUCUGAUGUUAGCGGCGGACGGGUGAGUAACACGUGGAUAACCUACCUAUAAGACUGGGAUAACUUCGGGAAACCGUAGCUAAUACCGGAUAAUAUUUUGAACCGCAUGGUUCAAAAGUGAAAGACGGUCUUGCUGUCACUUAUAGAUGGAUCCGCGCUGCAUUAGCUAGUUGGUAAGGUAACGGCUUACCAAGGCAACGAUGCAUAGCCGACCUGAGAGGGUGAUCGGCCACACUGGAACUGAGACACGGUCCAGACUCCUACCGGAGGCAGCAGUAGGGAAUCUUCCGCAAUGGGCGAAAGCCUGACGGAGCAACGCCGCGUGAGUGAUGAAGGUCUUCGGAUCGUAAAACUCUGUUAUUAGGGAAGAACAUAUGUGUAAGUAACUGUGCACAUCUUGACGGUACCUAAUCAGAAAGCCACGGCUAACUACGUG
rnacentral:rRNA from 1 species